rnacentral:rRNA from 1 species
AAAUUGAAGAGUUUGAUCAUGGCUCAGAUUGAACGCUGGCGGCAGGCCUAACACAUGCAAGUCGAACGGUAACAGGAAACAGCUUGCUGUUUCGCUGACGAGUGGCGGACGGGUGAGUAAUGUCUGGGAAACUGCCUGAUGGAGGGGGAUAACUACUGGAAACGGUAGCUAAUACCGCAUAACGUCGCAAGACCAAAGAGGGGGACCCUCGGGCCUCUUGCCAUCGGAUGUGCCCAGAU